AACGCGAAGAACCUUACCCAGGCUCGAAAUGUAAUGGACAAUACCAGAGAUGGUAUGUUCCGCAAGGACUGUUAUAUAGGUGCUGCAUGGCUGUCGUCAGCUCGUGCCGUGAGGUGUUGGGUUAAGUCCCGCAACGAGCGCAACCCUUAUCAUUAGUUGCCAACACGUAAGGUGGGGACUCUAAUGAGACUGCCUGGGUUAACCAGGAGGAAGGUGAGGAUGAUGUCAAGUCCGCAUGGCCUUUAUGUCUGGGGCUACACACGUGCUACAAUGGUCGGUACAGAAGGCAGCAAGACCGCAAGGUGGAGCAAAUCCGAAAAGCCGAUCUCAGUUCAGAUUGUAGUCUGCAACUCGACUACAUGAAGUUGGAAUUGCUAGUAAUGACGUGUCAGCAACAACGUCGUGAAUACGUUCCCGGGCCUUGUACACACCGAGACGUA
rnacentral:rRNA from 1 species